rnacentral:tRNA from 1 species
GCCGCGGUGCUCAGACGGGAGCGCCAGUUUGAAGGACUGGAAGAUGAUGGUUCGAAUCCAUCCCGCGGUUCCA